rnacentral:lncRNA from 1 species
GCUGAGAUAUGAGGAAAAUGAAGAUUCUACUGAGUAUCACAAUGUUGGCCAUCUUAUACACCGACUUCGUCCCUGUGUUUAAUGGGAACGUAUCAUCUGCUUUGAAUAAUACCAACAUAAUCCGAUUGAGGGGGCUGGACACGGAGACUACAACAAGUUUAGAUAAAAACGAGUACAACGUAAUCAAGUACUGUGCAGAAACGUGCCCGUAUAUGGAGCGAUUCCAUGGAAGAAGUGAAGGUGACGGGUACCUUGCCUGCUGUGCCCAAGACUUAUGCAAUUAUAAAAGACUGGGGAGCGGGCACAGAGCGCUCUGUGCUAGUGUCCAAGCGGUGGCAAUGGCAUUCAUAGCGAGCUUCUUCGGGACUCUCAGGGUCAGACCAGGAGAUGCUGGGAUAGAACUGUGACCUCUGAGACCCUGCCCACGCCACGUCCCUCUCAGUAAGAAAUUCUCACCCAUGUCUUCUGGAAAAGAGCUACCCGGGGCCCUGGAAGCCUUUCCCAUAGCUCCUGAGAGCCAGCAUAGGAGCCCUUCCCUGGCUUAUGUUCUUUAUGUUUCUUUGAGAUGUUUGGAAAGUGUUAUAUAAAUGCUCACUGGUAUGAUUAAUAGUAACGAUAAUAAUAAGAAGAAUUUCCAUUGCAUUUUCAUCCUUAUUUCUUGUGGGGGGCAUGUGUCUUUUUUUCUCUCAAAAUGUGAUACUCUAGGACUCAAAGUCUUGGAGCAUACCUGGGAAAUUCUUAUCAAACAAGAUGCUGGAAGGAAAACGCCUUUGUAACCAAUGCUAGCCAUUAUUAGCUAUAAGAUUGCAAGCUCUGUGAGGGCAGGAAAUAUAUCUCAGCUCAGUUUUCUACCUCCCCUAACGCCCAACACGGUAACCUUCACAAAGCAGGUUCUCAAUAAAUGUGUUGAAUUAUAUUGAACA